rnacentral:rRNA from 1 species
UACGUAGGUGGCAAGCGUUGUCCGGAAUUACUGGGCGUAAAGCGCACGUAGGCGGCUUUGUUAGUCAGGGGUGAAAUCCCGAGGCUCAACCUCGGAACUGCCUUUGAUACUGCAAAUCUCGAGUCCGGAAGAGGUGAGUGGAAUUCCUAGUGUAGAGGUGAAAUUCGUAGAUAUUAGGAAGAACACCAGUGGCGAAGGCGGCUCACUGGUCCGGUACUGACGCUGAGGUACGAAAGCGUGGGGAGCAAACAGG